UACGUAGGGUGCAAGCGUUGCCCGGAUUUAUUGGGCGUAAAGGGCGCGCAGGCGGCCGAGCACGUCCGUUGUGAAAUCGCCUGGCUCAACUGGGCGGGGUCAGCGGAUACGGCUAGGCUGGAGCAAGCUAGGGGGCAAUGGAAUUCCCGGUGUAGUGGUGGAAUGCGUAAAUAUCGGGAGGAACACCAGUGGCGAAGGCGGUUGCCUGGAGCUUUGCUGACGCUGAGGCGCGAAAGCGUGGGGAGCAAACAGG
rnacentral:rRNA from 1 species